UAGAGCAUGGGCCUCAGGAGAGCUGGUGGGGGUGAGAGUAGAGUGGCUGGGAGCCUUCCCUUGACCUUUAGUUGGUGGGGACGCUGAGUCUCCCUAAGUUGCCCAAUCUGACCUGGAACUUGUGAUUCUCCUGCCUGCGCCUCCUGAGCCACUAGAGUUGUUGGGAUCACUGGGCGAGAACCACUGGACCUGGCCAGAUCGCCGGUGCUGAUUCCAUGCCUUGGAAGGACUAAGUCCCAGCACACUCAACCCAGACUUGGCACUAGUGGAGGAGAGGGAAUUCAUGGCUCAUUCAACUGGAUGCCCAGAGUGGGCUGACAUCCCCUAGACUGGCUUUAGCUGCACAGCAACAAGAUCAGAACCUGGGCUUACGUGGCCAGGGCAGCUGCGCAAAAGUCGCCCAGCUUAGCAAGUGCAGGUAGAGAUGGACCCUCUGAAGCUAGUCUCAAGGCUGUCUUUCUGGAUGAUGGCCUCCUGUCCAUCCCUGAACCAGGCUGUGGCAAGGGGUGGUAUGAGGGGAGCUGCCUGGGCUGAAAGGGACUUUUAUUUAUUUGUAGCAGGAAUUGAACCCAGGGUGCUUAACUACUGAGCCACAUUUCCCAGCCCAGCCCUUUUUAUUUUUUAUUUUUUAUUUUGAGACAGGAUCUCACUGAGUUGCUAAGGGCCUCACUAAGUUGCUGAGACUGGAUUUAAGCUUGUGAUCCUCCUGCCUCAGUCUCUGGAGCUAAUGGGAUUACAGCAGCUGGAAGGGAUCUUCUACAGGAAAUUGGAAGUCCUCAAUCAAGUCAGGGUCCCACGAGGCUGGGGACAGGCCGUGUGGCUCUCCAGGGGUUGUGUGCACACUGCUGCUGGAGUCCCUUCGACCUGUCCACACUCCGGCAUUUGAACAUGGCCAGAAUCCAGGCACCCAUAGGCGGCUUCUCACCAGCCAGCCCUUCAGGUCGGCGCAGGGCGUGGGGACUGGGGUGCUGCUGGUGUGGCCCCUGGGAGGCCAAGGGAGCAGCUGUGGCGAUCCAGGACUUGCUGUCUGCCCUGGACAGUCACUCCCGUCUGCUCAGGAAGGCUCGAGGUGUGUAAAGGUAAACUCACGAUCUGCCAGCGGUCUGAGCACGGUGGGACUGGACCUUGCUCCCUGGUCUGAGUGUCCUGCUGGGAUGUACCUGUCACUGGGGCACAGGUACCUUUCUGAAGCCCACAGAGGUGCCAUUCAGCUGGUGGCUGCCCUGGACUGAGCACACCAGGUCAUAUAUGCUGGGAGGAGGGACCUGCACUGAAGCUGGAGAGGGUACGUGGGUUAGACCACGUGUACUGCGGGGCUACUGUUGGUGUUAGGCAGAAACCAAAGACCAAAACCAAAUUUUGAGAAAACAAAAAUAGAAAGUAGGAAACUUGCCUUGGGAUUGGGCUGGAGCAGUUGGGGGAGCCUGCUGAGCUGGAAGGUGCUGCUGGCUGUGGCUUCCUGGCCACGUGGGGCAGGUGCGAGGGUGUGCCAGCAGAGGGCCGGGCGUGUGGGGAGACGGGUGCACAGGGGAGGCGGAGCUGUCCCUGGGGCUGGCCGCGCCCUGCACCCGCAGGCCCUGGCAGGGGCUCUGCCUGUCUGGAAGCUGCUGGGCCCCCUCGCCUCCCCGCAGGCUCAGGGCUGCAGAGCCCACCUGGCCUGCGCCCUCAGCGGCAGCGGAGCUCUGCUGACGAAGGCAGCACAGGCUUCCUCCCCCUGGAAGUGGCCGACACUGAGCACAGGACCAGGUUCUUGGGCGAGCUCUCCUCUGCUCAGGUCGCUCAGGCUGAGACCAGUGGGCACCGGUGGGCGUUGAAGAAGCCUUUCCCUGACCAGCACCGGCCUUUUCUGCUUUGCAGCGGCAAAGUCGCAUGGAUUGAACCCAGGGUGCUUAACCACUGAGCAACAUCCCCAGUACUUUUUAUUCUUGAAUUUGAGGCAGGUCUGACUAAGCUACCGGCUGGCUUGGAACUCGCCAUCCUUCUGCCUCAGCCUCUGGAGCUGCUGGGAUCACAGGCGUGCGCCAUGGCGCCUGGCAUGCAGCCUGUUUUGAGCCAUUUUUAAGAGUGCUGCUGGUGGCACAUCGGGGGCAGCCAUGGCCACCCUUCCUCUGGACUCUUGAUCUUCCCAAACUGCAGCUCCGCCAGUUAAACCAGCUAGCUGUCCCCAGCCCCUGCUGCCCCAUCCUGUUGUCCCCAAGGACUUGCUGCUCUUGAACCUCCUGUAAGUGGAUUCAGGCUGGACGUGUCCUCCAGUGGCUGCUUGUCUCACGGGCACACUGCUGGGGCUGGUCCAGGCUGCACUGGGCCCCUUCCUCCCUCUUCAGGGAUGCAUAGUGCUCCCCUGUGUGGCUGGGUCACACUGCGAUCCACACAUCUCUGGGUGUGCUCCUGGUUCAAGCCCCGGCUCUCGGGAGGUUGUGGGACCCUACCUCGUUCAACAUGCCCUUGCCCUCCUGAGUCCCCUGGUGCUCCCAUUUCUGGCCCUGAAGGAUCUGGGCCUCUGUCCCUCCAGCUGCUGGGCUCCCUGGCUCCUCCCUGCCGGCCAGUCUGUGGAUCCCUGAGAGGCUCGUGGGACAGGCCCAGUGGGCCAGUCACAGGCCCUCAAGCCUCCCGCUCCCUCCCCGUCCACGCCCCUGGGCCAACGGUGGUCGGUGCUCUCAGCCAGAAGCUAGGAAUGUGGGCGUCGUCAUUUAUGCAUUUUAGAAGCUUAAUGUGUCUUUAUCCCAGAAGUGCUCGUUUUGAACAAUAGUGAGAAAGGAAACGAGUCUCUGCAUCUUGACUUACUGAAGCCAUCAAAUAACGUCUCCGUGGGCUUCAAGGCCCCACCCCAGCCAUUGUUUCAGAGGAGAUGAUCGCGUGUCGGUUCAUAUGACACACUGGGAAAUAAGCUCUGGAUUCCGACCCUGGGAGCCCUGGAGUGGUGGCCGGGAAAGGCUGGCACAGGCUGAGGCCCCAGCGUCCUGCCCUCCGAGUAGGCGAGGUGAGGCCUGGGAGCUCACCCUGAGCGCCAGCAGGAGGCGCCCGCGUUGGCGUCCAGAGCGCAGGCGCCCGGUGUGCAGCUGCAGAUCAGGUGGGGUGCGUGCACACUUGUUUUCCACAUUGAAAAUGUUUUGAUUUUGGU